rnacentral:piRNA from 1 species
UUGUGAGUGUAGUGGGUGGAAUGGAAA